AAACUUACAGUGCACUGGAACGCGCGUGAUCAUGAAGGCGCGGUUCCUAAGGUGACGUGGCCUAGCACCCAGGCCACUGAUCCGGGCGCCUUCCUCCGAUGGAGGCGAGGCGAGUGCUCAAUUUUUGGUAGAAUAGGUGGACUUGCGUUCGCGCUUGUCCACC
rfam:Nematostella vectensis strain CH2 x CH6 NEMVEscaffold_19_Cont3496, whole genome shotgun sequence.